UACGGGGGGGGCAAGCGUUGUUCGGAAUUACUGGGCGUAAAGGGCUCGUAGGCGGCCAACUAAGUCGGAUGUGAAAUCCCCAGGCUCAACCUGGGAACUGCAUCCGAUACUGGAUGGCUUGAAUUCGGGAGAGGGAUGCAGAAUUCCAGGUGUAGCGGUGAAAUGCGUAGAUAUCUGGAGGAAUACCGGUGGCGAAGGCGGCAUCCUGGACCAACACUGACGCUGAGGAGCGAAAGCCAGGGGAGCAAACGGG
rnacentral:rRNA from 1 species